rnacentral:lncRNA from 1 species
GGGUAGGGAGGGCCCUCCUUGGGGCGUCAGGGUGGGAAGCCUGGCCAGCAGGGGGCACCCAGGCAGGACGCCCCCGCCUGCCCCCGCCCUGCUGCUGGCAGCACACAGGCCGCAGAUGGCCUUGGCCGGCCCUCAUUGGCAUGCCUACAGGUGUGGGGUGGACGGCUCCAGUGCCAGCCCCGAGGGGGGUGCUGUGACUCAGCCAGCCUGUACCUUUUAGUGUGCCAACCCACGGACCAGCCAUGGCUCCUGGGCCUACCCCUCAACACAGAGACGGUCUUAGCUUGAAGCCCCUCACCUCUUCCAACUUGGGCCCUUGUGCUCUGCUUGUGGAAAUGGCUCACCCCUGCUGCUCUCCUGCUGAUGCUGACGGAGAAGGACUUAGAGGCAGGCUCCCUGUGGAGCUGUAUGUCCAAUUCCCCUCCCUAGGGGUGCCUUCCGAUCCCCACUGCUACAGUUGGGAGCCUGACUUCCUGGUGACCUGAGAGCUUGCAGCCCAUGCUGUCCUUUCCUCCACCUGGAUGGCAGGGGUGGCUGGGGGUACACCUGAGGCUCGAGAUAAACCCAGCCUCCAUGUAGCUCUGUGUGUGUGUGUGUGUGUGUGUGUGUGUGUGUGUGUGUGUGUGUGUUUGAGUGAGCACGAGAGAGAAACAGACAGACUUCAAGGCCCUGACAACCAUGUGAGGCCUUGUGCAACAAUGUGGAUACAUGUGACACAGAAAUAGAUCUGUGACAGUGUGGUAGGCUGUGUGAGACCUCAUAUGACCAUGGGUUAAUGUAGCCAUGCUUUGGGAUAUUUUGUGACCCUGCAUGUGUAAUCCUCUGACAUUGUACAAUCCUGUAGCAGACCCAAGUGUGAUAUCAGGUUGUACAACUGAAUGUGUGACAUUGGACAAUUCUGUGUGUGACAUUGGAUAUGCAACACUGAUAUUAUAUGGCAUGCAUGACCCUGUGACAGGACACUGGGUGAUUCUAUAUGGUUUGUGACAUGGUGUCUGUGUAACCAUCAUGGGUGUGGCCCUGAGACUGACACCAGGGAUUCUAUGUGAGUGUAUGAUGCCAGCUUGUGAC